rnacentral:rRNA from 1 species
GUGCCAGCGCGGUAAUACGUAGGGGGCAAGCGUUGUCCGGAUUUAUUGGGCGUAAAGAGCGUGUAGGCGGCUAGACAGGUCUGCUGUGAAAACUCGAGGCUCAACCUCCAGACGUCGAUCGAAACCAUCUGGCUAGAGUCCGGAAGAGGAGAGUGGAAUUCCUGGUGUAGCGGUGAAAUGCGCAGAUAUCAGGAAGAACACCCGUGGCGAAGGCGGCUCUCUGGUACGUGACUGACGCUGAGACGCGAAAGCGUGGGGAGCAAACAGG